UCGUUACAAUCUUCAACAAUGGAUCUCUUGGCUCUGGCAUCGAUGAAGAACGCAGCGAAAUGCGAUAAGUAGUGUGAAUUGCAGAAUCCAGUGAAUCAUCGA
rnacentral:rRNA from 1 species